GAUGAACGCUAGCGGCAGGCCUAAUACAUGCAAGUCGAACGGGCGGUAGCAAUACCGCUAGUGGCGCACGGGUGCGUAACGCGUAACCAACCUGCCCACACCUGGGGGAUAGCCCGCCGAAAGGCGGAUUAAUACCGCAUAAGACAACAGUCCGGCAUCGGGCGGUUGUUAAAGAUUUAUCGGGUGUGGAUGGGGUUGCGUAGCAUUAGCUAGUUGGCGGGGUAACGGCCCACCAAGGCGACGAUGCUUAGGGGACCUGAGAGGG
rnacentral:rRNA from 1 species